AGGGUAAAGCUCUCAAACACUGGCCGUGUCAUGUCGGAGACGGGCGCAGGACAGAUGUCUGUGAUGGAUUCGAGGUUGUGGCGCUGAUGAGUUCUUUGUGUCAAUGAUAGUUUCUUCUGUUCGUUUUUUUUAAUAAAGACUCGUUCCUGUACAUCCGCUGAUGGGUUUUUUUUCAACACAAGCCGGUGAGAGGUAUAGGAGAGGGUCGAUGUGCUAACUCCUGUCUGGCUGUUUAAUCACCACUGCAGCUCAUCCAUAUCCGACUGUUCAUGCUUUAUCGCAUUGAAUUUAUUAGUAAUGCAGAAAUGUAUUACUUUGCCAAAUAACAAUAGCCUUUACAUCAUGAUAUGCGUUGUGUUAUUAUUAUUUCAUUUUCCACCUUAGAGAUUUUCUUUCUUUCAAUUUCUAGAACAUCGCAUUUAGAUUUCUCGUAUGUUGUAACGUUUUUCUUCAAUAAAGCUCAAAUUUGUUAGCGUAUAGCCGUUUUAUGGCAAUGUUCUCAUAGGAGAUCCCAGCACCUGUACGAUCAUGAAAAAUGUCAGCUCGGCUGCGUUGUCAUGCAUGCGGUUUUAUUCAGUCCAGUAAUAUGAGAUAUGUCUGAUGUACAGCCAAACAUGUUUGUCUGUUUUAUUUCGUUGCACAAAAAAGAGCAACGUAUUGAACCAACAUAUGCUGAUACCUCCUAGCACAUUUUUUCAUUUACACAAACAUUCUCUAUGAAUUGAGUUUUAAUACUUGUCAGGACCUCGUGUAGAGGAUGCUAGCAGAUGUUUAAUUUAUAGGCACAGUGCGCGUACCUCCACGUUCACGUUAACCGCAUUUUAAGACAUGACAUUCUGACACCAGAAGUGCUGUAGUUUAAGGGGGUACAGUUGGCACAGCGCUGUGGGCUUCUUCCUGUUUUAAACACUGAAAUCAUUAAGUUCUACCACCGCCUUUGUUCUGUACCUCCCUGGAGUGUUUAACUUUCUAAAACCUAAUUUUGUUAAAUUAUCCACAUUACAAACAUAGUUUCAAAACAAUUGAUUCCCCUGUUUUGCUCUCUCUCUCUCUCUCUCUCUAAUUAUAUUUUUCCCCUGCUUGGUUUCAUGCUGAACAAUGGCGGAUGCCAACUAAUCAGGCUGGGUCCGUGCCACGAAGCUCCCAGCAACAGCUGAAGUUCUGCCAUGUUCCGUGCAUACCAAGCAGUCAGCCACGACCGUCGAGUGCCAGCCCGGUGCCCACCGCAGGGUCAGACAGUUUUAUUAGGAUCUGUCUGACACUGCGCAGGCUGGCAGUGCCAAUGCCGAGAUGAAUUCUGUGCUGCUCACACACUAGCGGUCAGCUGAAAGAACCUUCAUACUGAAUGCACACAAACAGACCCGUCAGCCAGAUGAAGAAAAGGAACAAAGACUGGAUCCAGCCAGGAAUUAAGAUUUUAUUCAAUAAACGGGCUGCUUCCGAAUGGUCCAGCAAGCAUCAGGUCUAAUGUCCUAGCGGUUUCGUAUUUACAUUUUUGGCUGAAGGCACAUCGGAGUGCUUUUCAUUUGUGUGCAUUAGAGCAAAAAAUGGUUCGUUUUCUGGCUGAUAAGUUUGGCCGGCAUUUUGAUCAAAGGAGAGAGACCUGUAGACAGACAGAUAAUGGACAUGCAAGGCAUAGGUGCAGACGAAUGAAGAAAGAAUUAGUGUAAAAUGUUAAUUAACUAUAACCUGGUAUCUGCAAAAUGAGAAAGUGUUUUUUUUUUCAAAUAUAAGCCUUUUUAAGCAUAAAGCUAUUCAUAUAACUGUUUAUUAAUUAAUAUAAGGCUCUAAAAAAGUGAUAUUGUUUAAGGUAAUUGCAUUUUUAAUAUUUAAUAUACAUUUCAUAUAAUGCUAAUAUAAAAUAUGAAUAAUGAUAAAACAUUAAAAAUGUAUGAACAUGAAGAAACUGCUCGCCAGCAGAUCCUACAUGUAUAAAAAUAUAUAUUUUUUAUUGAUAUAGAAUCAAUUUAAGAAAAACGCAUUUGUCAUCAAUCAUAUUCGUCUUUGUCUUAGACCACAAGGAUGGUUCCGGACCUCAGAGGCCGGCAAAUUAAAAGCCCUUGCAGACGAUGUGUGUGCGUGUUUGCUUCCUAACCGUGUGCUGUUUAAAUAAACCUAACAUUAGUCUGGGAUAAAAGCUUCUGAAAGUAGAUUAGGAACUGAGAGCUCAGCUGGGAGAAACUGUAGGAGCUGGAUGAAUUGACAGGAUUACAGGACGUCGGUUGUGUGGAGUCGUUGUUCGGCGUGUUAUCGGCGCAGGUCAGAUGUGUGUGUGGCUCUUACUGCAGGUGUGGAAAUAACAGGUGUAUAUGCAGAGAGGCGGCUCACGUCUGCGUAUCCAGACUCCAGACGAUGAACGGUCUGCGGCGAGCACGCUUUCUCAUUGAACUACAGAUGAUUUACAUUGAAAUUGUAGGGUUUUUUUUUGAUAAAGCAAAUCCAAAUCAAGCUGUAUACUUUUUUGCUUCCGAUAUUGCAGAUUUCAAACAUACUUGUACACUAUUUUGUUCUUUACUGUACACUGUAUAUUAAAAAUAAGCCUUGUUGGCCUUGUGGAUAUUUCGAUGCUUGCAAGUAAUGGGUCAGUUCACAAAAGAUAUGUCACCAAACUCUUUCUUCCCCGUUUUUUUCCUGCCCUCUGUACCCUGUGACCGCCUGCCUUUCUCUGUGAUGUCUGCUGUAGUGCUGUGGAGGCGUUGCCAGGGAAACGCAGUAUCUGGCUGCCAGCGUGCUGGAGUUAUUGAACCACAACUGGCUUUUUGCUUUAGAAGAUAAUUAGGCUCUGUCUCACAGGUUGCUGAUGGGACUCCAGUGGAACCCGCGGCUGCUCUGAGCCGCCUCCUCUCAUCAUAGCUGUUAAGCCGUCGGACGGCGGUGUACAGAGAUGAUGAGGUGCUGUUUUCAGCUUGUGGCCAAGUCGUGGUUUUUUUUAGGUACUGCGCAACUCGUAUCUGAGCAGCUGUUCGUUAAACCCUUUUUAAAAUAAUUGCAUUUAAUCUUACUGUAUUGCAACAUACUAGUUUAUUAAACUGCACGGUGUCUUCGACGUGCGUGUUGUUAACAAGGUGUCAUCUGUUUUUGGCUUGUGCGCCCAGACGUCGUUUUCCAAAGUAAUGACUGUGAUAUCUCAAACCCUUAAUGUUCUCUUGCAGCGUGUGCUGCAGAGAUGAAGCGGUGUGUGUGUUUGUGUUCCAGCAGGUGAGUUUGACACACAAACACAGUCCUGCAUUAAAAGAGGCGGGGAACAGAGACGAACCCUACGACCUGCUUUCAGACACUGUCCCGCACAGCAGUGCUUAAACACACACAAAAGCAUACAUUCACAAACGCUCAGACAAAUUUAUUCCUAUGUAUUUUGUUUUUAUGUAUUUUUAAAAAUGUUGUAAAUCUUUUAAUAAAUUAUUUAUCUUGUCUC